AAUAUUUGACAACGGGGGCAACCCUGAUCCAGCCAUUCCGCGUGUGUGAAGAAGGNCUNNGGAUUNUNAAGCACUUUAAGUUGNNNNNAAGGGCUUUAGAUUAAUACGCUGAAGUUUUUACGUUACCAACCAAAUAAUCACCGGCUAAUUCUGUUCCAGCAGCCGCGGUAAUACAGAGGGUGCAAGCGUUAAUCGGAAUUACUGGGCGUAAAGCGCGCGUAGGUGGUUCAGUAAGAUGGGUGUGAAAUCCCCGGGCUUAACCUGGGAACUGCUUUCAUAACUGCUGAGCUAGAGUACGGUAGAGGGUAGUGGAAUUUCCUGUGUAGCGGUGAAAUGCGUAGAUAUAGGAAGGAACACCAGUGGCGAAGGCGACUACCUGGACUGAUACUGACACUGAGGUGCGAAAGCGUGGGGAGCAAAC
rnacentral:rRNA from 1 species